rnacentral:rRNA from 1 species
UACGUAGGGUGCAAGCGUUAAUCGGAAUUACUGGGCGUAAAGCGUGCGCAGGCGGUUUUGUAAGUCUGACGUGAAAUCCCCGGGCUUAACCUGGGAACUGCAUUUGUGACUGCAUCGCUGGAGUGCGGCAGAGGGGGAUGGAAUUCCGCGUGUAGCAGUGAAAUGCGUAGAUAUGCGGAGGAACACCGAUGGCGAAGGCAAUCCCCUGGGCCUGCACUGACGCUCAUGCACGAAAGCGUGGGGAGCAAACAGG